GCAGGCUUAACACAUGCAAGUCGAGGGGCAGCAUAAUGGAUAGCAAUAUCUAUGGUGGCGACCGGCGCACGGGUGCGUAACGCGUAUGCAACCUACCUUUAACAGGGGGAUAACACUGAGAAAUUGGUACUAAUACCCCAUAAUAUCAUAGAAGGCAUCUUUUAUGGUUGAAAAUUCCGAUGGUUAGAGAUGGGCAUGCGUUGUAUUAGCUAGUUGGUGGGGUAACGGCUCACCAAGGCGACGAUACAUAGGGGGACUGAGAGGUUAACCCCCCACACUGGUACUGAGACACGGACCAGACUCCUACGGGAGGCAGCAGUGAGGAAUAUUGGUCAAUGGACGCAAGUCUGAACCAGCCAUGCCGCGUGCAGGAUGACGGCUCUAUGAGUUGUAAACUGCUUUUGUACGAGGGUAAACGCAGAUACGUGUAUCUGUCUGAAAGUAUCGUACGAAUAAGGAUCGGCUAACUCCGUGCCAGCAGCCGCGGUAAUACGGAGGAUUCAAGCGUUAUCCGGAUUUAUUGGGUUUAAAGGGUGCGUAGGCGGUUUGAUAAGUUAGAGGUGAAAUUUCGGGGCUCAACCCUGAACGUGCCUCUAAUACUGUUGAGCUAGAGAGUAGUUGCGGUAGGCGGAAUGUAUGGUGUAGCGGUGAAAUGCUUAGAGAUCAUACAGAACACCGAUUGCGAAGGCAGCUUACCAAACUAUAUCUGACGUUGAGGCACGAAAGCGUGGGGAGCAAACAGGAUUAGAUACCCUGGUAGUCCACGCAGUAAACGAUGAUAACUCGUUGUCGGCGAUACACAGUCGGUGACUAAGCGAAAGCGAUAAGUUAUCCACCUGGGGAGUACGUUCGCAAGAAUGAAACUCAAAGGAAUUGACGGGGGCCCGCACAAGCGGAGGAACAUGUG
rnacentral:rRNA from 1 species